rnacentral:rRNA from 1 species
UACGGAGGGGGCUAGCGUUGUUCGGAAUUACUGGGCGUAAAGAGCUCGUAGGCGGUUUGUUGCGUCGGCUGUGAAAUCCCGAGGCUCAACCUCGGGUCUGCAGUCGAUACGAGCAAACUAGAGUGUUGCAGGGGAGACUGGAAUUCCUGGUGUAGCGGUGAAAUGCGCAGAUAUCAGGAGGAACACCGGUGGCGAAGGCGGGUCUCUGGGCAACAACUGACGCUGAGGAGCGAAAGCGUGGGGAGCGAACAGG